rnacentral:rRNA from 1 species
UCGGGAAUCUUCCGCAAUGGGCGAAAGCCUGACGGAGCAACGCCGCGUGAGUGAUGAAGGUCUUCGGAUCGUAAAACUCUGUUAUUAGGGAAGAACAUACGUGUAAGUAACUAUGCACGUCUUGACGGUACCUAAUCAGAAAGCCACGGCUAACUACGUGCCAGCAGCCGCGGUAAUACGUAGGUGGCAAGCGUUAUGCGGAAUUAUUGGGCGUAAAGCGCGCGUAGGCGGUUUUUUAAGUCUGAUGUGAAAGCCCACGGCUCAACCGUGGAGGGUCAUUGGAAACUGGAAAACUUGAGUGCAGAAGAGGAAAGUGGAAUUCCAUGUGUAGCGGUGAAAUGCGCAGAGAUAUGGAGGAACACCAGUGGCGAAGGCGACUUUCUGGUCUGUAACUGACGCUGAUGUGCGAAAGCGUGGGGAUCAAACA